AACUCCGUGGUGUAGUGGUUAGCAUACCCGUCCGGAAAGCGGGAGAUCGCGGAUUCAAAUUCUGCCGGUUUCU
rnacentral:tRNA from 1 species